rnacentral:rRNA from 1 species
UACGAAGGGGGGCUAGCGUUGCUCGGAAUCACUGGGCGUAAAGGGUGCGUAGGCGGGUCUUUUAAGUCAGGGGUGAAAUCCUGGAGCUCAACUCCAGAACUGCCUUUGAUACUGAAGAUCUUGAGUUCGGGAGAGGUGAGUGGAACUGCGAGUGUAGAGGUGAAAUUCGUAGAUAUUCGCAAGAACACCAGUGGCGAAGGCGGCUCACUGGCCCGGUACUGACGCUGAGGUGCGAAAGCGUGGGGAGCAAACAGGG